CAUGCAAGUCGAGGGGCAGCAUGGUCUUAGCUUGCUAAGGCCGAUGGCGACCGGCGCACGGGUGAGUAACACGUAUCCAACCUGCCGUCUACUCUUGGACAGCCUUCUGAAAGGAAGAUUAAUACAAGAUGGCAUCAUGAGUCCGCAUGUUCACAUGAUUAAAGGUAUUCCGGUAGACGAUGGGGAUGCGUUCCAUUAGAUAGUAGGCGGGGUAACGGCCCACCUAGUCUUCGAUGGAUAGGGGUUCUGAGAGGAAGGUCCCCCACAUUGGAACUGAGACACGGUCCAAACUCCUACGGGAGGCAGCAGUGAGGAAUAUUGGUCAAUGGGCGAGAGCCUGAACCAGCCAAGUAGCGUGAAGGAUGACUGCCCUAUGGGUUGUAAACUUCUUUUAUAAAGGAAUAAAGUCGGGUAUGGAUACCCGUUUGCAUGUACUUUAUGAAUAAGGAUCGGCUAACUCCGUGCCAGCAGCCGCGGUAAUACGGAGGAUCCGAGCGUUAUCCGGAUUUAUUGGGUUUAAAGGGAGCGUAGAUGGAUGUUUAAGUCAGUUGUGAAAGUUUGCGGCUCAACCGUAAAAUUGCAGUUGAUACUGGAUAUCUUGAGUGCAGUUGAGGCAGGCGGAAUUCGUGGUGUAGCGGUGAAAUGCUUAGAUAUCACGAAGAUCUCCGAUUGCGAAGGCAGCCUGCUAAGCUGCAACUGACAUUGAGGCUCGAAAGUGUGGGUAUCAAACAGGAUUAGAUACCCUGGUAGUCCACACGGUAAACGAUGAAUACUCGCUGUUUGCGAUAUACUGCAAGCGGCCAAGCGAAAGCGUUAAGUAUUCCACCUGGGGAGUACGCCGGCAACGGUGAAACUCAAAGGAAUUGACGGGGGCCCGCACAAGCGGAGGAACAUGUGGUUUAAUUCGAUGAUACGCGAGGAACCUUACCCGGG
rnacentral:rRNA from 1 species